UACGAAGGGGGGCUAAGCGUUGCUCGGAAUUACUGGGCGUAAAGGGCGCGUAGGCGGCCACUGUUAGUCAGGCGUGAAAGUCCUGGGCUCAACCUGGGAACUGCGCUUGAUACGGCAGAGCUAGAGGAUGGAGAGGCUCGCGGAAUUCCCAGUGUAGAGGUGAAAUUCGUAGAUAUUGGGAAGAACAACCGGUGGCGAAGGCGGCGAGCUGGUCCAUUACUGACGCUGAGGCGCGACAGCGUGGGGAGCAACAGG
rnacentral:rRNA from 1 species